GUUCCAUUGGCGGCAGACAGGUCCAGUCCUCCUUCCUCCAGUAACUCCUCCACAGGCCGCACGGCAACGUCUGGUUGUAGGCAGCAGUCAUUUUCUCCAGUAGGACCUCAUCUGUUACUGUUGGAUUCUGUAGGUGAGGCUUUAAAUCUGUGCGAAUGGUGUCAUCAUGGAGUCCAGUCCAUGGCUCGAACUAGAAACUGGACUGGAGUCUCUCUGGGCUCUUGUGCAGCACGUGGUGAACAGCAGUAGCACUCCUUUCAGAAAAGUUCAUAGCAGUAGUGGUGGUUGACAUUGUGGCAGAGGUGCGUUGUCUUACCACAUUCUCUGGGAUGGGUGCAGUACCAUCUGUGGCCGCUGGGGAGCGGUGUAGCGACGUGGGACCGGACUUUGACAACGCUUUUAAUUCAUCAAUUUUAUCAGUCACUUUCAACAAUAAGGACAGUCCUUCAUC